rnacentral:rRNA from 1 species
AUACGGAAGGUCCGGGCGUUAUCCGGAUUUAUUGGGUUUAAAGGGAGCGUAGGCGGGAGCUUAAGUCAGCGGUUAAAUGGUGCGGCUCAACCGUGCCCUGCCGUUGAAACUGGGUUUCUUGAGAGUGCAAGAGGCGGAUGGAAUUCAUGGUGUAGCGGUGAAAUGCUUAGAUAUCAUGAAGAACUCCGAUUGCGAAGGCAGUCCGCUGGGGCACGUCUGACGCUGAUGCUCGAAGGUGCGGGAAUCAAACAGGAUUAGAUACCCUGGUAGUCCGCACGGUAAACGAUGAUUACCCGCUGUCGGCGGUAGACAGUCGGCGGCCAAGCGAAAGCGAUAAGUAAUCCACCUGGGGAGUACGCCGGCAACGGUGAAACUCAAAGGAAUUGACGGGG